GAUGAACGCUAGCUACAGGCUUAACACAUGCAAGUCGCGGGGCAGCAUUCCUUAGCUUGCUAAGGAAGAUGGCGACCGGCGCACGGGUGAGUAACGCGUAUCCAACCUUCCCAUGUCCACGGGAUAGCCCGUCGAAAGGCGGAUUAAUACCGUAUGAGGCCACAUGCGGGCAUCUAAGUGUGACGAAAGGUUUUGCGGACAUGGAUGGGGAUGCGUCUGAUUAGCUUGUUGCGGGGUAACGGCCCACCAAGGCGACGAUCAGUAGGGGUUCUGAGAGGAAGGUCCCCCACAUUGGAACUGAGACACGGUCCAAACUCCUACGGGAGGCAGCAGUGAGGAAUAUUGGUCAAUGGGCGCAGGCCUGAACCAGCCAAGUCGCGUGAGGGAAGACGGUCCUACGGAUUGUAAACCUCUUUUGUCGGGGAGUAACGUGCGGGACGCGUCCCGUAUUGAGAGUACCCGAAGAAAAAGCAUCGGCUAACUCCGUG
rnacentral:rRNA from 1 species